rnacentral:rRNA from 1 species
GACGAACGCUGGCGGCGUGCUUAACACAUGCAAGUCGAGCGGUAAGGCCCUUUCGGGGGUACACGAGCGGCGAACGGGUGAGUAACACGUGGGUGACCUGCCCUCAGCUCUGGGAUAAGCCCGGGAAACUGGGUCUAAUACUGGAUAUGACUCCAUGACGCAUGUUGUGGGGUGGAAAGCCUUGUGCGGCUGAGGAUGGGCCCGCGGCCUAUCAGCUUGUUGGUGGGGG